rnacentral:lncRNA from 1 species
CUUCAGUAUAAUGUUGGUGGAGAAACUCGUUGUUUUAAAUGCCCCUCCGUACCGGUCUGCUCUGACUCGAGAGUGUUUUAAGAACAGGAGAAAAACAAGUUAGAUAGCACGAGUUCAGCCAUAUAUAUAUAUAUACACACACACACACACACAGACUAUAUACUCAAAUACGUACGAAGCAAAAAGAGAUUCGAUGAUGGUGAAUGGCCAGAAGACAGAGCCACUGUCAUUGGAGGUGGCGGAGACGAAGGUGGCUGCUGCUGCUGCUGCUGAGGAGGAGGAGAAGGUUGGACGUAGAACCCAUAUGGCUGUGGCCCCGAGGCUCGAUCCGAGACUGAGUAGCCGGAGAGCUG